UACGGGAGGCAGCAGUGGGGAAUAUUGCACAAUGGAGGAAACUCUGAUGCAGCGACGCCGCGUGAGUGACGAAGUGUUUCGGCAUGUGAAGCUCUAUCAGCAGGGAAGAAAAUGACGGUACCUGACUAAGAAGCCCCGGCUAACUACGUGCCAGCAGCCGCGGUAAU
rnacentral:rRNA from 1 species